GGUACCUAGUUUGACUUGACAACUUUUUCCAUCAGCCUCAGCUCCAUCCCAGUCGGGUCCUGUGGAUGUCCGCAGAAUACAAAUUAGCCGGCUUUGUCCGCUAUCCCUAGAGCAUCUGCCCUCAGCUGGGCGCAGGUCUCCGCUUUCCACGUACCACACACACUGCCUCAUGAAGACUCCAGACUCCUCCUCUCCCCUCCGACCCACUGAGCAGCUGGGGGGCAGCGCACAGGCUCCUGGGCCUCACCCCACCCCCACCCGAGGGCCCUGCCGCAGUGAGCAGAGUGCUGCUUGAUGACAAGAUGAAGCUGUCUGCUCACCUGCAGAGGCCCCCUCUGAGGAGCAGCAGCAAAGGGAGCUUACCGGGAAGGUGGCACACCACCGGGAUACCCAGUUUCCUGAGGUCGUCUGCGUUGCCGACACCCGAGAGCAUGAGCAGCUGUGGAGAGUUGAUGGCGCCCCCGCUCAGAAUCACCUCCUUGCUGGCGUAAGCCUGGAAGAGGCAGAGGCACGCAGGUCACGCUUCCUGAAAAGCGAGACAGAACCCGAGAGCGUGGCCUUGGUGUGAUGUCCCCGAGUGGUGGGUGGGGAUUCCGUUCCCAGGCCCGAGUAAGGAAGGGGAUGCUCAGCGGGCCGCUCUAUGAAGGGCGCUCCACACAUGCAGCUCCCGGGUGCGGGUGCGACACUGAAGCGCGCUUCACAUGCUGAUAUGUUCUGCAACAGUCACGCUGUAACGAUGGUCUUAAAAACGGGACUGUAGAGCCCCAGACACUCCAACAAGCAGCUUCAAUAAAGCAAGCAGUGAGUCAGAUCUUCA